UUUCCAGCUGAGGAAGCUGGAGCAAUGGAGACAUUACUGACAGGUAUAAAGAAGUCAGCGCAGAUCAAAGGGAAGUUGUUUUCAGAAGGAAAGAGAAUUCUAAUUGACUCUGGGGUGCUAUUAAAGCACCUCAAUAAAGCCAUUUUAAAAAAAAAAAAGUUUUGUAAAAACAUCUACCAAAGAAGAUAGAGAUGUAAGAUUGGGGAUUAGAACAGAAACUUUUCCAGCUUCCCUGGAAGAUACAGGCAAUCAUUUUUGACCUACUAUUAUGUAUAGGUAUUGAGUGAAGGCUUGUUCUUCAUCAUUUAAUACAUUUUGAUAAUAUUUUGAACUAAUAUCUAAGAUGAAUCCUUACGGGUCCCUUUGAGCCAGAGAAAAAUAGACAAACCCCUGAGCUCCAAAAUACCUUAUUUCAAUGGAUAUAUACCUAUAAGAUUUAAAAUAGCUAACCAUCAAGGGGAAAUGUGGUUCUGGAAGUAACAUGAGUAGAGAAGACCUGGGUGUUUGCUGAAGUACCCAUGGCCCUCCCUUCCCAGGAAACUCACAAGUUGACAGGACUUUGCUCCUCACCUGUUAAUAGCAACAUUGGGCCAGAUAAUCUAGAUCAUUCCCUCUGGUUCCAAUCGUUGUUUCCACCAAAAGUCCUUGUUACUAAAGCAACAGUAUCAGAUCUUAUACAGAAAAUUAUACAUAAGAAAAAAAAGAGAAAAGAAAGAUGAGAGGCUCUUUACUUUAAGAACCACCUGUCCAUCAGGGCAGGCUGCCUCCCUUGCAUUGGUUCAGACUUGUUCAAAAAGCAUUUUCUGUGUCUCUGAUAACUAGUUAAGAUAAUUAAAGAGCUGCUUAGACAUGCAACAACGUGGAAUGAGAAUUCUAAUAGGAAUAGGUAUUAACAUCGUAUUUUAAGUUGAGUGCAUUUAAUGAGGAGAAGUCCAUACAUGAAUUUUUUUCUUAAUGUGACUGAUUUUUCCAGAGAAGGGUCAAUGCAUUCUGUAUUUUUACCACACUCAGAGAAUAACCGGAGGAAGGGAACCAAAAUCCAAUUACCAUUUAAUGUUCCUGGUGCUUUACAUAAAACAAACAAAACCUCACUGAAUCCUUAAAACAGCCAUCUAAGAUAAUUCCCACUCUGAUAUUGGGCAUUUUAUAAAUGAAGAUGCUCAGGCUAAAAGUUAGAGGAACUUACUCAAACUACCACCUGGUUAGUACGCUCUAGAGACAAGAUUCAAAUGCAGAUUUUAUUCCAAAAGCACUUUCCUUCCUCUACCUCUGCCAUUACCCAUAUUUAAGGAACCCAAAUUACUCAAUUAUAAAAUGUUCCACAAGAGGCACAGGUUUAGAAGGCCAGCCCUGGCACCAGACUGCUUAGGAUCAAAUCUCAGCCAUGUGACGAAGGGUACAUCAUCCAAUCUAGCCAUGCCUCAAUUAAAAUGGAGACGAUGGUAAUAAUGUCUAUAGCAUAAGGCUGUUUGAGGGUUAAAUGUGUUACCAUAAAUAAAGAAUUUACCUCCCUGUGCCUGAUCCAUAUAAAAGCUAGCUAUUAUUAUACAAGGCACAGCUAUAAUUUUUAUAUACGUUAUAUCUAAUAUUUAUAGCAACCAUAUGAAAUGAGCCACAUUAUCUCCAUCUUACUGAUGGGAAAACCAAAGCUCAAAGAAACCAAACCAUUGCUCCAAGAUCACACUGCAGUAAAUGGAAGAGCUUGGGUUUUAAUUUAAAUUCUCUUAGUCCAAAGUCUAAGGGGACAAGAGGGCUGCAAACGUGCAUAGUUACUAAAUGACUUGGUCCACAGCCACACAAACACAUCCCCAUAACACCCACUUGUCCAGACCAAUAACAUGGCCUGAAAUUGACUGCAAGUGAGGCUAGAAAAUGCAAGGGAGCAAAUGGGUAUUUGAUGAGCUUUGUCUCUGCCAAAAUAAACAGUUGCUUAAAUAAGUAUCUAGAUUCUUCUUAGAUGUCUUCUUUUAAGAGUUUCAUAUUAUGGAGAAACAUUACCAAGAUUUUCACAGCAAACCUACUAUAAUCAAUAACUGUUAUUCCAUCAGCUCAAUAAACUCCCUUUAUUCCCUUGAAAUUUGCAGUACAACAGAGGAAGAAAAUCAGGUUCUGCCCAAUGAUGGUUUCUAUGUGUGAGUUUCUCUGGCUGUCAGUAGCCUUCAGGAUUGAGUCACUCUUCAGUGGGAGAGAAAUGAGAAAAAGAUAAAAGACAAGAGAUAGAAACAGUAUUAUUAGUGUCUAAGGCCCUAGUUCCAGUCGUUCCUGAGGUUGAGGCAAAUUAACACUUGAGAUAGCUUUACCCAGUGCUAAUGAUCAGCCCUAGUCUGAUGAAGUCAGCAUCUGUACUAAUUGGUCAGUAUUUCUGCAACUCAGGUUAUUAGUUAUUUUUAACAUUAACCCUGCUUAGGGCCAAGUGGAAGUUUUCCUCUGUUGAUUUGGUUAGAUUCCUUGAGCAAACUUCUUUUGCCUUUUACAUUGAAUUGGAUUUCCCUUAUCUCCAACCAGACAUGUCUGAUUGAUUCAUUGAAUAAAUAGGUACUGAGCACUCACAGUGGACCAGACAAUACUCUAGAUGUUAAGGGGAGAGCAGUGCACAAAACAGACUCACUACAGCUACAGAAUUACAGAAAAGCAUGGUUUUUGUGACAACAGUCACAAAUCUAGGAGCAAAGGGAUUUCAGGCUAUUCCUCAGUAUUUGAGAUCCAACAGCAGAAUUUAGUGUUGAAUAACUGAAUGAAUUAAGCACUAAUUCUGGAGCUCUUACCAUAUAAUGAACCUUAAGGAACAAGGAGGAAGUUGAUUUUUAAGUGGGUUUGGUUACACAGAAUUAGAGCCAUGUAUUGAUUUAAAGAGAAUAAAGCAGCCGUGUCACAUUAAAAAAAAAAAAAAAAAAAAAAAAAGAGAGAGAGAGAGAUAAUCCCUGGAUGAAAAGCCAAACAUAAUAUUCCAUAGUUCUCUAGAAUACUAGCAGUAAAAUGUUUUUAUUCCUUCUUAAUAAGUAGCAAGUCUGCAGCUACUAUUGCCAGCACUGUACUGAAGUCCCAAAGGAGGACUCAAAAACAAGACCAGUCAUGGGCUCCUCCCUUCUGAAGUUUUGUUUUGUUUUAAUAAUGAAACAUCAGGGAGUUCCCAGUGCAGCUCAGCAGUAACGAAUCUAACUAAUUUCCAUGAGAGAGUGGGUUUGACCCCUGGCCUCGCUCAGUGGGUUAAGGAUUCAGUGUUGCCUGAGCUGUGGUGUAGGUUGCAGAUAUAGCUCAGAUCCCACAUUGCUGUGGGUGUGGUGUAGGCUGGCAGCUGAAGCUCUGAUUCAACCCGUGGCCUGGGAACUUCCAUAUGCUGCAGGUG
rnacentral:lncRNA from 1 species